rnacentral:rRNA from 1 species
GACGAACGCUGGCGGCGUGCUUAACACAUGCAAGUCGAACGAAGAGCGAUGGAAGCUUGCUUCUAUCAAUCUUAGUGGCGAACGGGUGAGUAACGCGUAAUCAACCUGCCCUUCAGAGGGGGAUAACAGUUGGAAACGACUGCUAAUACCGCAUACGAUCUAAUCUCGGCAUCGAGGAUAGAUGAAAGGUGGCCUCUACAUGUAAGCUAUCACUGAAGGAGGGGAUUGCGUCUGAUUAGCUAGUUGGAGGGGUAACGGCCCACCAAGGCGAUGAUCAGUAGCCGGUCUGAGAGGAUGAACGGCCACAUUGGGACUGAGACACGGCCCAGACUCCUACGGGAGGCAGCAGUGGGGAAUCUUCCGCAAUGGACGAAAGUCUGACGGAGCAACGCCGCGUGAGUGAUGACGGCCUUCGGGUUGUAAAGCUCUGUUAAUCGGGACGAAAGGCCUUCUUGCGAAUAGUGAGAAGGAUUGACG